rnacentral:rRNA from 1 species
AUUGAACGCUGGCGGCAGGCCUAACACAUGCAAGUCGAACGGUAACAGGAAGCAGCUUGCUGCUUCGCUGACGAGUGGCGGACGGGUGAGUAAUGUCUGGGAAACUGCCUGAUGGAGGGGGAUAACUAUUGGAAACGGUAGCUAAUACCGCAUAACGUCGCAAGACCAAAGAGGGGGACCUUAGGGCCUCUUGCCAUCGGAUGUGCCCAGAUGGGAUUAGCUAGUAGGUGGGGUAACGGCUCACCUAGGCGACGAUCCCUAGCUGGUCUGAGAGGAUGACCAGCCACACUGGAACUGAGACACGGUCCAGACUCCUACGGGAGGCAGCAGUGGGGAAUAUUGCACAAUGGGCGCAAGCCUGAUGCAGCCAUGCCGCGUGUAUGAAGAAGGCCUUCGGGUUGUAAAGUACUUUCAGCGGGGAGGAAGGGAGUAAAGUUAAUACCUUUGCUCAUUGACGUUACCCGCAGAAGAAGCACCGGCUAACUCCGUG